AAAUAGCUUCGCAAAAUA
rnacentral:misc_RNA from 1 species